GGCUAGCGUUGUUCGGAAUUACUGGGCGUAAAGCGUACGUAGGCGGCUUUGUAAGUUAGAGGUGAAAGCCCGGGGCUCAACCCCGGAAUUGCCUUUAAGACUGCAUCGCUUGAACGUCGGAGAGGUGAGUGGAAUUCCGAGUGUAGAGGUGAAAUUCGUAGAUAUUCGGAAGAACACCAGUGGCGAAGGCGGCUCACUGGACGACUGUUGACGCUGAGGUACGAAAGCGUGGGGAGCAAACAGG
rnacentral:rRNA from 1 species